rnacentral:rRNA from 1 species
GUAGGGUGCAAGCGUUAAUCGGAAUUACUGGGCGUAAAGCGUGCGCAGGCGGCUUUGCAAGACAGAUGUGAAAUCCCCGGGCUUAACCUGGGAACUGCAUUUGUGACUGCAUGGCUGGAGUGCGGCAGAGGGGGAUGGAAUUCCGCGUGUAGCAGUGAAAUGCGUAGAUAUGCGGAGGAACACCGAUGGCGAAGGCAAUCCCCUGGGCCUGCACUGACGCUCAUGCACGAAAGCGUGGGGAGCAAACAGGAUUAGAUACCCUGGUAGUCCACGCCCUAAACGAUGUCAACUGGUUGUUGGACGGCUUGCUGUUCAGUAACGAAGCUAACGCGUGAAGUUGACCGCCUGGGGAGUACGGCCGCAGGGUUG